CAGUAGCCGCGGUAAUACAGAGGGUGCGAGCGUUAAUCGGAUUUACUGGGCGUAAAGCGUGCGUAGGCGGCUUUUUAAGUCGGAUGUGAAAUCCCUGAGCUUAACUUAGGAAUUGCAUUCGAUACUGGGAAGCUAGAGUAUGGAAGAGGAUGGUAGAAUUCCAGGUGUAGCGGUGAAAUGCGUAGAGAUCUGGAGGAAUACCGAUGGCGAAGGCAGCCAUCUGGCCUAAUACUGACGCUGAGGUACGAAAGCAUGGGGAGCAAACAGGAUUAGAUACCCCGGUAGUCCCUGUCUCUUAUAC
rnacentral:rRNA from 1 species